GCUCGAAGUCUUUUUCUCAAUCAUAAACCCUCCGAAGUCACAUCCGUAUGCAUACGAGUGAACAGCCCUACCAAUGCUCUAACUGCACCAAGGCAUUUAAACGUAAAGGACAUCGAGAAUGAAUCAUUUGCCCGCGCAAAAGCCCCGAUUAAAUCUAUAACUGUUUUUCACUGAGCAUUUUGUAGCGGGCGAACGAAAGCUAAGAUUCACUCUGAUUAAUAAUAACCGUGUGCAUAUUUAAUGGUUUUAAUAAAUCUAUAUCAUCAAGAAAGAAUCAGGAAGAAUCAUCAAGAAUGUGGACAGUUACGCCGAUGACGUCCACUGAUAUGUUAGUCGACCGUUAAACAUAAUAGAUGAGUGUAUCAACGUUAGCUCAUUGGAAUAAUGACGUACGACGAACGUGCCUCGCAGGUGCAUGCAUUACCGAAAUCGUCUUCCCUCCUGCACGAUGCUUUACCUCAUCGGCUUGGACCGGCUCUAUUUGGCGAGACGCUUUCUGGAGACAAACUGCUAUGCCGUGAUCCCCUCCUCUGACCCCGCCAGCAGGUCGCACCCUCGGGUGGCAAGGAAUACCUCUUGAGUGCCCGCGGAUACCGAUAUGACCAGGGGCAUCACCUUUUUGGUCUUCCGGUUCAUAUAAGCAAGUGUGCGCCUGAUGAUGUCUGUCCAAUUCAGGCGCCUGACCAGCUGACAUCGCGAACUCCCAGCCGGCUCUCGAGCCAUGAUUCUUGUUGCUUUUUGUUUUCUCCUCCACUGGUGAUUCCGCCGUAGUUCCUCGUCCUCUGUGACAGCCACUGGCUUGCCUGUCCUGAUGCCGCUGAAACGUUAGUGAUGAUCAGUGAGCUGCAGUGAUCGACGGCGGAGUUGUUGGUUCACGCCAACGGGAAAUAAUGUCAGCAACCCCCCAUUCAUAAGCUGCCGAAUGAAACGCUGGGCUUCAGCUUCGAGACGCGGGUUUUUGGAGUCCUUAGCGAAGUAUCAAGGAUAUUUUUCCAAAUACACGAACCUAUGGAACGGCCAGAUCGGCCCACAAAUAACGAAGAAAACAGGAAAAAUAUGACUGCAGAAAAUAUCCUGGAUCUUUGGCCCAUGAGAACUUACAUAUGUACCCUACGCUUUGCCACAAACCAUGUCGUAUCUGAUUUGACCCAGCCAGACGGUCCUAUCCAAGCAUGAGCGAGGCGUUUUCGAGUCAGACCGAGUAUCCCAUUGCAAGAUUCAUACCUAACAAGCCAUCGUCAUCCUUCAACAUGGUGAUCGACAACAAGGACUUUGACUAUGGCCACCAAGGGAGGCCCUACGCGGGACGCUAGAUACACUCAUCCAUUCAUUUAGAUAGUACUUAAAAAAUGUU